AUAUUCUGGUUUCUCUUCAGAUCGUAUAAAUCUUUUGCCUUUUACUAAAGAUUUCCUUGGAGAGGAACAGUUAUGAGUUUGUAAACAACUUUUUGAGGUCCUAUAUAUAUUUUUGAGGUCC
rnacentral:snRNA from 1 species